UCUUCUCGAUCUAAUUUGCCAUUCUAUUGCCUAUGCUUAAUUUCUUGCAUAAGAUUGUUAUAAAUUAAUUGUACAGUUGUGUUGGUCAUAGUCUUUUAUCUCCUAGCUACUUCUUAAGGCUUUUGUACUGCAUUACUACUAAUUAGCCAAAUUAAUCCCCAUUACUGUUAUUUCCUCCUGCAACAUCGUAAUUCAAUUUGAAUGCGGAGCACUGGAAUGCGGAGUACAAUUCUAUUACUCAAGUCCAGAGGAUCUCGUCAGCUUACACUGAACCUGUAUAUUUCUUUGGUAAAAAAAAGAGGAUGUCCUGCUUUUCUUUGGACAGUACAAUUCUAUUACUCAAGUCCAGAGGAUGAUGUAUCUGGACAGUGGGUGCGUAAUACAGUGCCAAAUCUGUUUGCUUUGCCUGAUAUAAUAAACCUUAUUUUCAGUCUUCAGAUUAUCCACCUGGUAUUCUAUUUAGCUAUAUGGUUGUUGCAAGAGUCUUUCAAGAGUCUGGCCUUGCCGGCUUUACGCACCACACAAUUUUACCACGGUCCUGUUAAGUCCCGUGACUUCAGAUUAUCCACACAAUUCUGUUUGUUUCCCCUUGUGUGAUGAAAACACAAGAGGCGGCUUAUGCUAUCAUAAGUUCAGAACAGGCAACUCUAAUCUAUUACUAAUACUGCUACUAAUGCACUCAUAAUAUUCAGUGGAAGGACAGGCAAAGAGUUUGUUUGCAUUCUUUUUGCUUGAUCUCUUGGAUUACAUAUUACGCAUAUAAUAACAUGCUUGUGUAAGUUCUUCUGUUUUUGCAAUUUAUUUCAGCUUUCUAUUUGUGAAAGUGCUCAUUUGCAUAUGCCAAAAGAACCAGAAUGUGCUUGCUCACGUAGUCACAUCAGUCAUCUGAUCGAUGGCAUGCUUGCAAUCAGCAGAAAAUGCUUACUUUACCCGCAAAAAAAUGCUUACUUACUUAGGACCUUGUUGACUGCGAGCUCAACAACCAUGGUGGAUAUGCUGUAUGUAUGUAGCAGAGAUGCAGAACUAUAGGUACAAGCAGACACCACAUACUGAAAUUCAAAACUGUGUAAUGCUCAGUGUAAACAAUCCGGUUAUGUAGAGUUUUGAUUUAAGUUUUUCUUUGUCCGUUGAGAAGACUUAUCUACCGACUGAUGUAGCUGGCACUAUAAUCUCUCGCUCAAAAGAUGUUGAGAAAAUGCAAAAACAGUUAUGAUGGCUGAAAUACAUCUAAUGGGAUCAUUCAACAUCCAAUUUACCGAAUAUUUGACAUAGAAAGGACAUCGUAUGUCACUAUGCAUGUGCCAAUUUUCGUGUCGUUUGUGCAGUUGAAGACAAGGGCUACCAAUGGAGAAAGAGUGCACAUGGUGGCCGAGAGGGAGUUACUGUCAGACCAUGGUGAGGAUGGUGGCAGGAGGAUGGUGGCAGGAGGAUGUACCUGCGGCGUGAGGAGAUGGGUGCAGGAACAGCCGGCGCGCGGAGGUGGCUGGUUCCGAUGGCCCUGGUGAGCAACACCAUGAGACGGGAGCAGAGGCUGCACCAUGAGAAGGGAGCAGAGGUUGCUGGUUCCGGCGGCAGCAGAGGCCGCAGCUGGCCGCAGCUCACCCACCUGGCGUGAGAACGACGUGGCCGGACUGGUUCCGUUCCGGCGGAUGUGGCCGGAGGGAGAGUAUGGGUCCAGCGAGAGGAAAUUCUGGCUUCCUGGCAACGUGGCCGGACUGGUUCCGUUCCGGCGGAUGUGGCCGGAGGGCGAGUAUGGGUCCAGCGAGAGAAAAACUGGCGUUCCUGGCGACGAACUGGCGUUCCUAGCGACGUGCGAUGGAGCUGUCGCACUUGUUUCUUUGUUUGGUUUGGCUCGGGCGUGUCUUUUUUUUUGGUUUGGCAUGGACGUGGUUUUUUUUGGUCAAUGCAUGGAGUGGACGUCGUUCGUGGAUUGA